rnacentral:piRNA from 1 species
UGGCUCAUGAUAGAUCUUCAGAUGUUUGGU